rnacentral:tRNA from 1 species
GCGGAAGUAGCUCAUUUGGUAGAGCGGCGGCUUCCCAAGCCGCAGGUGGCGGGUUCGAGCCCCGUCUUCCGCU